UUUUAUUUUUUUAUUUUUUUAUUUUUUUAAAUCAGCUCAAGGUCCAAAGAGAAAUGAGGUGUCCGGUAUGGAAGUGCAUCUCAGUCAACAGCCAGCUCCUUUUGCCUAGGCUGGAAAUGGUUUUAACAGGCGGUAAAAUUUCAUCUUGUGGUGUCAAAUUGGGGUCAGUUUGGGGUUAGCGCUCUCAGUGUCCGAGCAGGAGCUGUCCAGCUGUGUGGGGAUUCAUUAAGGGCAAAAGAUCCGUUUCAAGAAAAACAAUACAAAGACAAUCAGAGGGCUAAAGAUCCUCUUCAAAUCGCAUUUUACAAGUGCACCAGAACAAAUAUGGACUCUGAAACCUAUUCCCUUCAAACUCCCAAAUCGGCUUCUUAGCCCUUGGAGGGAGGGAGAGAGAAAAUCCUCUAAAACUUAAGAAGAGUCUGUUUUCAAUCAGCCUUUCCGAAGUGUGGCAUCUUAGUCCUUUGCUGGCUUUGAGAUUUGCCUCUCUCGCUCCCUCCUUCUCUUUUUCCACAGCCUUGCAAAAGCGGAUGGCACAACAGGUAAUAUUUCAGAUUUUAGGAAUAUAUGCCGCCGGGGACCUUGGACCGCUGUUUGGUACGCGCGUCUGUGCCUAAAGCAAGAUUUGAUGCAAAUAGAAAGUUUUGUUGCGGUUUUUUUUUUUUUUUGUUUGUUUGUUGGUUUUUGUUUUUUUUUUGGGGGGGGGUAGGGAAGGAGAGUUGGGGAUGUGGAACAAGCCACUCUUGCAGGAAACCCUGUUGGCCCCCUUUGGAAAUUUUCUGCACUCCUUGUAAGUGAUGCUCCGGUCUGACGGGUAAUUUAGGCUAGAUUUACUUUACGGUUCCUAGCAUUUGUGGAAAGCACCUAUUGCUAAUCUGGUUUAUUAAAUUCGCGUGGUUUAAAUCCUCUUAGCGCCCCUACAUCUGUUAGAACAAUUGACGCCUUGCUACAGGGACAAAUAACUUGAACCUUAAUCUUGUUUGUAACUUUAUUCAAUGUUUGUUUGUUUGUGCGCUGAGUUCAAGUAUUUCGGAGGGAUGCCAUUGUGUUCGCAAAUACAGGGGCUACACUUCCAGGCAAAGCUCCCCGUGGAAGGGAUAAGGAUAUCGCGGAACGGGACGACAAAUUGUGCAUAUGCGUUUCAUCGUGAACUAUCGUUCUAGGAAACGUGUCAUUUACUGAAGAAAGCAAUCUGCCUGUUAAAAUGUGGCUGCAGGAUUACAUCACCGGGACCCCGUAGUAAAAUCCACGGGGAUUUUCCUUUUUGUUUUGCUCGCAGGGCGAAGUGCGGGGUGUAAACAGUACCUUUUCCUUUUUAUAAUUGGGAUUAUGCCACGGUUUAAACUCCUACCCCCAAAAUCGCUCUUUACCACACUUUCCUUUGCCUUUACGCUUAGUUCUCACAACUUGAGUCACUUUUUAUGCGUUUUAGCCACUUUAAGUCCUCGACGGCGGGACUUCAGAGGUGCCAUCUCGGGUGCCCCUGGGCAAUGCCGCACAGUCCCGGUUCUGCAGGUCGCUGGGUUCAGUCUGCGCCCUUUCGGUCCGCUAAGCCCUCCCCCCAGCCACCGCCGAUGGUGUACGUCGCUUUUCACCCACCUACAAUUUUUCUAAAACCUUUCAAUUCAGUCCGUAAAGUCAGUGAUAGCCCAUCACGGUGAACUUAUCUUGACCUCGACUGCUGUGUGACUGAGAUCUUUGGGAGCUGGGUUAGGAGGAGAUUCAUGGAUUUACCUGCGAACUUCCUUUUUAACUCUCUUUCUUCCACCCCUCCCUCUUCUUUUAAAGAAAAAAGAACCCCCCUCAACUCCCCCACGAAGCCGGAGCGAUGCGCGGUCCGCCUGCCCCUGUUCCGCCGUGUCUCCGCUCGGCGCGGGGCUCCGACCGCCGCUGCCGGGUUCCCCGCGGGAUGCGGCGGUGCCACCGGCAGCCCUCUAGCGCUACCUGGCGGGGCUCCAGCACCAUCCCGCUGCCUCGCAAGGCCCCGGUCCCCGCGCAGCUCCAGGGGCGCGGAGCGGUGCGGAGCACUGUGGACCGCUUCGAGCCUCCGCCUCCCGCGCGGCUCCGAGCGCUUGGUUUGGCGUUGCCACCUCCCCGCGUUCCAUCGAGCAGGCGGGCUGCGGGCCGCGGCGGGAAGGGGAACGGGGGGACGCCUUCGCCUUGGUGCGCGUGAAGCGCUGAUGUCAGACCAGAGCGCGGCUUUUUUUAUUAUGUCUUAGGCUGGGAGGUUUGUAGAAGUGAAGCCCAUAAACAGCCAACGCGCCUGUUUCCAUCAUAAACCAGGGAGAGUAAAAUACCUGCCAGGGCUCCCCGCUAACACAGUGCAGCUGCUUCCACCGAGGCAGCUAAAAACCUAGUUUGCCUUUGUUGGAAGAAGCCCGAAGCAUUAACAAAAUCCAUCUUUCCAAUAUGACAUCCUAACAAAAAGGACAGUUAGGGCAAACUAAAUCGCUUUAGUGGGGUAUCAGAGCAUCCGCGAAGGCUCCAAACUCCUCUCAGAGCUCUGCUCUCGCGCACUUAAAAUAUUACCUUUUGUUCUCCAGCUGCCUAUAAAACUCCAGAAGAGGAGCGCUCUCCUUUUUACACUGGAGUUCUCGGUCCGGAGAGAACAAUAUCCUCCUACCUCCUCUGAAAUGAUAAGGAGAACCUCACAACACACAGGCGAGCACUCCAAGCACGAAUCUCUUUCUUUUUUUUUUUUUUCCCCAUUUUUUCCCCCCAAGAACUGCUCGGCCCAUUGUUUGAAGUGGGAUUCAGCGCGCAGCCCAAAGGGAAAAAGGAAAAAAACCGAAAGAAAUCUUAGGAGCCCGGUUUGAUAUUGCACAGAGAAAGAUCUGACAAAAUAGUAUAGCGCGUCUCCUAGAAGGACGUGAUGGGAGCCGGCGGUGUGUUCCCGAAGGAAAGAUGGGUUUGUUUUUUGGGUUUUUUUUUCCCCACCCUUAAAGAUUGUGAUCGCCUUUGUACGUCUUUCUUUUGAUCCCACAAAGAGAAUGCCAUAUACAUAUAUGUGUUUGCUCUCCGUACAAGAAAUGCAAAGGACCGCACAAUGGAAUAUGCGGCCGGUUAGUCCUCAUAAUGCUUAGUUUUGCUGUAAUUAAUUGAAAACAGUUAUUAGGUCGUCAUUGGCAAUAGCGUAAAUAAUUGCAGCAGAUUUUUACUUAAAAUUGACCGGCCACAGAGUGAUAGAUCGAUUCGAGGUAUAAAAAUGAUGUAUCAAAACAUCAAUGUCGAUUAUUUGAAAUAUUGUAGUCGAAUCUUUUUAUUGCUUUAUCGGUUAAGUGUCUGAAAGUGCUGUGUUCCAACAUAUAUUUAUGUUGUCAAUACUGUCAAAACUGUCAGUUUUAUUACAGUGGAUUUGUAAUACAUUUCGGAUUUGCUCAUUUACAUAAAAUGUCCACCCCAGAUACCCCUCCUUUUCUCCAUCUCUGGAAAUUUAUGUCAGUUUAAUGAAAGGAUUCAGGACUCAUACCUGAAGGGGAAAAAAAAAAAAAAAAAAAAAAAAAAAAAAAAGUAGAGAUAUUGCUCCGUUAAGUCCAAUUUAAACCUCCCUUUGGAAAGCUCGGGCUGUUUCUAACUUGCCAUAAGAGGGAAUCCCCCCCGUCCCUCCCCCCUUUAUUUCCUCAGUAGGAUUUAAACACUUUCCUACCCUCACACCUAGAUGAAACCCUUCGGGAGGAUUGAGGACCUGAGUGGGGAGACAGCCGAGCCCUAGCCCACCUGCGAGUGCGGAACCCUCACAGAAAGCCGCAACACACAAGCGGGGCUUCGUCCCCCUAGAAAGAAGGAGACAAAAGCAGCAAUAAACGUGUGUGUGAUCCUUUCUUAACGGGUUGAAGCCCAAAAGAAAAAGCAAAUUGGAUGCAGUAUUGGGCAUUUGAUGCCCGUCCGUCCCCGCCCCCCACUUUAUCAGGGUCUGAUUAUUCGCUUUAACUGUAAGCGCUGAUUUGUUAUUAGCUGGGUUCAGGCACCUCUCUAAUUUUCUCCGAGAGCCCAUUUGAAGGGUAGAAAAACUGAGGAAUAAAUAAAUGCAUUUACACUCUAAAGUCUCUUCGAUCAAGCAAACAGUGAAAUUAGCAAAGUAACUUUAUUUCCCACCCCUGUCGGGAGGAUGAGGGUAUUUUAAAGGCGUUGGUAAGGUGGACCUGAGGUGUGGGGGUGCCUGUCUUCUUUCUUUUUUUUUCUUUUUUCGUUUGGUUUUUUUUUUCUUUUCCCCAGAGAUACGUGUGUUUAAAGAGAUGCUGAAGACAUUUCUGAGUUCAUGGGGAAGAAGGAGAAGUUGGUUUGGGAAAUGGCAGCACACCGGGCAGGAGAUGGUUUCCUCAGUGUGUGGCAAGUGUUUCUUCAAGAAAUUCAUCAGCCCUUCUACAAUUACUUCGAGCUCCGAGGGAAGAGAGCUGCCAUCACUUUCUCACAUCCCAAGGUGUUGCACGGAGGAGAGAAGAAAAGGCUGGAGCAUUUAAUUAUCGGGGGGGGGGGGGGGGGACAAGGGGGAAGUUGGGGGUUAGCGGAGGCUGCGGGAAGCGGUCCCGAGCUGAUACCUGGAAAAGAAAAACCUGCAAGGGUGUAUCUGGGAGACCUGUGCCACUGAGAGAUGGGGGAAAGUACCCCAUCUCGUGCAGUAAUUAGUCUGAACAAUAAACAUAAUUGGAAUAAAA
rnacentral:lncRNA from 1 species